rnacentral:rRNA from 1 species
CCUACGGGUGGCAGCAGUGAGGAAUAUUGGUCAAUGGGCGCGAGCCUGAACCAGCCAAGUAGCGUGAAGGAUGACUGCCCUACGGGUUGUAAACUUCUUUUAUACAGGAAUAAAGUGAGGCACGUGUGCCUUUUGUAUGUUCUUUAGUAAUAAAGAUCGGCUAACUCCGUGACAGCAGCCGCGGUAAUACGGAGGAUCCGAGCGUUAGCCGUAUUUAUUGGUUUUAAAGGGAGAGUAGAUGGGUUGUUAAGUCAGUUGUGAAAGUUUGCGGCUCAACCGUAAAAUUGCAAUUGAUACUGGCAGUCUUGAGUACAGUAGAGGUAGGCGGAAUUCGUGGUGUAGCGGUGAAAUGCUUAGAUAUCACGAAGAACUCCGAUUGCGAAGGCAGCUUACUAGACUGCCACUGACAUUGAUGCUCGAAAGUGUGGGUAUCAAACAGGAUUAGAUACCCUAGUAGUC